CGAGUGAAGCGGCAAAAGCUCAAAUUUGAAAUCUGGUACCUUUGGUGCCCGAGUUGUAAUUUGGAGAGUACCACUUUGGGACUGUACUUUGCCUAUGUUCCUUGGAACAGGACGUCAUGGAGGGUGAGAAUCCCGUGUGGCGAGGGUGUCAGUUCUUUGUAAAGGGUGCUCGAAGAGUCGAGUUGUUUGGGAAUGCAGCUCUAAGUGGGUGGUAAAUUCCAUCUAAAGCUAAAUACAGGCGAGAGACCGAUAGCGAACAAGUACAGUGAUGGAAAGAUGAAAAGAACUUUGAAAAGAGAGUGAAAAAGUACGUGAAAUUGUUGAAAGGGAAGGGCAUUUGAUCAGACAUGGUGUUUUGCGCCCCUUGCCUCUCGUGGGCUUGGGACUCUCGCAGCUCACUGGGCCAGCAUCGGUUUUGGCGGCCGGAAAAAACCUAGGGAAUGUGGCUCUGCGCCUCGGUGUAGAGUGUUAUAGCCCUGGGGAAUACGGCCAGCCGGGACCGAGGACUGCGAUACUUGUUAUCUAGGAUGCUGGCAUAAUGGUUAUAUGCCGCCCGUCUUG
rnacentral:rRNA from 2 species